rnacentral:rRNA from 1 species
CGCGUAGGCGGUUUGAUAAGUCAGAUGUGAAAGCCCACGGCUUAACUGUGGAAGUGCAUUUGAAACUGUCAGACUUGAGUAUCAGAGGGGAAAGUGGAAUUCCCGGUGUAGAGGUGAAAUUCGUAGAUAUCGGGAGGAAUACCGGUGGCGAAGGCGACUUUCUGGCUGAAUACUGACGCUGAGGCGCGAAAGCGUGGGGAGCAAACAG